rnacentral:rRNA from 1 species
AUAUUGGACAAUGGGCGAAAGCCUGAUCCAGCAAUGCCGCGUGUGUGAAGAAGGCCUUCGGGUUGUAAAGCACUUUGAUCUGGGAAGAAAAAGCUUUGGCUAAUAUCCAAAGCCUUGACGGUACCAGAGGAACAAGCACCGGCUAACUCUGUGCCAGCAGCCGCGGUAAUACAGAGGGUGCUAGCGUUAAUCGGAUUUACUGGGCGUAAAGCGUGUGUAGGCGGUUCGUUAAGUCGGAUGUGAAAGCCCUGGGCUCAACCUGGGAAUUGCAUUCGAUACUGGCGAGCUAGAGUACGGUAGAGGGCGGCGGAAUUCCGGGUGUAGCGGUGAAAUGCGUAGAUAUCCGGAGGAACACCGAUGGCGAAGGCAACCGCCUGGGCCUGUACUGACGCUGAGACACGAAAGCGUGGGGAGCAAACAGG